ensembl:lncRNA ROCR regulator of chondrogenesis RNA
ACCCGCAGGCUGAGCGAGAGAGCUUCCCUUCCAAACACUGCAAAGAGUCUCCGAGGAGGAAAAGGAUCUUGCAGAAGAGCCAGGAAGCCAGGAUUGAAACUGUUGCCGGCAUUGGCAGGGCCCGGGCUGGAACUGUCUGCUCUCCUAUCCUCUGGCUCAGUGGGAAUCCCAUCGCCUCUCUGACAUCAUGGAUGAAAAUCAGCCCUGGCUUUCAUGUGUUGGGACCGCCCCACCCAGCUCAGUCCGGCCAGCUGGACCCUCCCAAAACGGGUUCUCUUUUGUCAGCUGCCUUUUAUAGAACUAUAAAACUAAAAGUUCAAGUACGAAGCCCUUACAUCAGUCAUCAAAAAAGGCAGACUUCGCCUCCCAGACUCCUUCUGCCUCUUUCCCUGCAUUGUGGCUUCCUGCUCUCCGGCAGAGCUGCUAGGCUGCUGGCUUCCAUUUCUCAGCCUCGUAAAGAUCCUAUAACACCAAAUGGGGCAUUAACCUGCCUAGGAGGGGGUUCUGGAUCUGUGCUUUGGAAUUAGGGGAAAGGGAAGAGAAGGGGGGAUCUUACGCUGCAACUAUGUGGGGGAAAGGAAAGAUACUUCUGUAAUAAAGUGAAAUGGCAUAGAGUUGGAAACGGGAAAAGAGACAACACAGGACCACAGUCGAUGAGGCAGAGUGAGACUUCCGCCAAAUAACUGUGACCUUUGAAAUUUCAAACUGCCUCUCUAGGCAUUUGAAUCUCUUGGCCAAAGCAUAAGUGAGUAGGGUGGUGGAACACCAGAUGAUCCUAUGCUCAGCAGAGUUUAAAAGGGAGGGAGUAUUAAACAUGUUGGAGCUUGAGAAGAAGAGUGGAAUUCUCACCUCCUCAGCUCAAGACCUGGGCCGUAGUGGGCACUAGAUUAAUCAUGGCUGCAGAAAGAAGUGAAUGGCUGACCUCAAUCAGUUUCAAUGCCUUAACAAAAGAUUGGACUAAGAUUAUUGAUAAAGGUCUUAGUGAUUCUUGGAUCAAUGAGAUGACUUCUACGGUUUAGGAAGCUCCAUGUACACUCUAAACACAUAAGAAAAGUCAAAGCCAAAUGGAACUCACCCAGCAGUCCAAAAUGGUGGCUGGGUCAACAAUGCUGCACCUAUGGGAUCAUCGUGUUCCCUGGCUUUACCUUUGAAGCGUGUGGUCUAGCUGCAGCUUAAAGGAUUAAUGUGAAGUGCAAGGAAAUGUGUGGGCAGUAAGGAAAGAAUGAUUCAUUUUGACUGUGAUUGCUGGGAAAGAUAUCUUGAAAUGGAGACUGUGAGUAAGAAAUGAGAAAGGUUAUUGUGAAGAUAGCAAGAAGGAGGCCAUCUGCAAACUGGGAAGAGAGCCCUCACCAGAAACCAAAUUAACCAGAACCUUGAUCUUGGACUUCUAACCUCCAGAACUUUUCCUAUUUAUAGGUUGCUAUUUUUGAAAUAAUUAUCAAGUUAAUCACAUGAUGUUGAAGAUAAAGGAGACAGGGUCAUUUGUCAAAUGUCUACCUGGAUGCUUUUCAGAGUAGUUCUCAGAAGCUGUCAUUAGGAGCUAAGAUCCCGAUACAAGAAAACUAUAACAAUCAUUCAACUCUGCUCUGGUGCCAGUUGCAUUCUGGACUCCAGGAACAUCAGUCCUUUUUCAGGACAUAUUUUGCAGGGCAGUCCCCUCUCCAAGCCAUGAGAUGGAAGAGUGUCCUUAUAUGAAGACUGCUGGAGUUCCAUUGGCUGCCUUGUCUCUGCUUAAUCCAUUAAGACAACGUUGAAUGUUCCCGGCUCAUAUAUUUAUAAAGGAAAAAAAAGAAG